CCUACGGUGGGCAGCAGUGGGGGAUAUUGCACAAUGGGGGAAACCCUGAUGCAGCGACGCCGCGUGUGGGAAGACGGUCCUCUGGAUUGUAAACCACUGUCCCCAGGGACGAAGAUGACGGUACCUGGGGAGGAAGCUCCGGCUAACUACGUGCCAGCAGCCGCGGUAAUACGUAGGGAGCGAGCGUUGUCCGGAAUUACUGGGUGUAAAGGGAGCGUAGGCGGGACUGCAAGUUGGGUGUCAAAUCUACCGGCUCAACCGGUAGCCGCACUCAAAACUGCAGUUCUUGAGUGAAGUAGAGGCAGGCGGAAUUCGUAGUGUAGCGGUGAAAUGCGUAGAUAUUAGGAGGAACACCAGUGGCGAAGGCGGCCUGCUGGGCUUUUACUGACGCUGAGGCUCGAAAGUGUGGGGAGCAAACAGGAUUAGAUACCCUAGUAGUC
rnacentral:rRNA from 1 species